rnacentral:rRNA from 1 species
GGGAUUGCCCUAGUAACGGCGAGUGAAGCGGCAACAGCUCAAAUUUGAAAUCUGGCGCAAGCCCGAGUUGUAAUUUGUAGAGGAUGCUUCUGGGUAGCGACCGGUCUAAGUUCCUUGGAACAGGACGUCAUAGAGGGUGAGAAUCCCGUAUGUGACCGGCCCGCACCCUUUACGUAGCUCCUUCGACGAGUCGAGUUGUUUGGGAAUGCAGCUCUAAAUGGGAGGUAAAUUUCUUCUAAAGCUAAAUACCGGCCAGAGACCGAUAGCGCACAAGUAGAGUGAUCGAAAGAUGAAAAGUACUUUGGAAAGAGAGUUAAAAAGCACGUGAAAUUGUUGAAAGGGAAGCGCCUGCAAUCAGACUUCGCGGCAGUGUUCCGCCGGUCUUCUGACCGGUUUAUUCUCUGUCGCGAGGCCAUCAUCGUCUCGGCCCGCUGGAUAAGACCUUGGGAAUGUAGCUCACCUUCGGGGGAGUGUUAUAGCUCAUGGUGAUGCAGCGAGGCUGGGGCGAGGUCCGCGCUUCGGCAAGGAUGAUGGCGUAAUGGUUGUCGGCGGCCCGUCUUGAAACACGGACCAAGGAGUCUAACAUCUAUGCGAGUGUUCGGGUGUCAAACCCCUACGCGUAAUGAAAGUGAACGGAGGUGGGAACCGCAAGGUGCACCAUCGACCGAUCCUGAUGUCCUCGGAUGGAUUUGAGUAAGAGCAUAGCUGUUGGGACCCGAAAGAUGGUGAACUAUGCCUGAAUAGGGUGAAGCCAGAGGAAACUCUGGUGGAGGCUCGCAGCGGUACUGACGUGCAAAUCGAUCGUCAAAUUUGGGUAUAGGGGCG